UUUGGAUAUUUUUCAGAUUUUGGAAUAUUUGCAUUAUACUUACCAGUUGAGUAUCCUUAAUUUGAAAAUCUGAAAUCUGAAAUGCUCCAAUGAACAUUUCCUUUGAGCAUCAUGUAAGUGCUUAAACACUUUCAGAUUUUGAAGCAUUUCAGAUUUCAGAUUUUCAGAUUAGGGAUAUUCAUUGUUUGGCUGCCUUGGCUUGGGGCCACAAUUUUAUCUCCUGCUAGGGCAGGCUCUUCAGACUCACUUCUUCCAGCUGCGUCAGUGUAGGGAAGUAGUUGGCAGGCUUACUGUGAAGCUCCUCCCAGACUUUAGCCAACUUCAAUCUCAAGCCACAGGCAGAGAGUCUUCUUAGUGUAGUUAUAGUCCUUUCCUGCCCUGUUUUAUGUUGGUUAGCUCCAGUUCGAGUUCCUCUCUUGGAGCCUUUACUAAAAGUAGCAAGAAGCAAGCAUCUUAUACCAAACACUUGAAAUGUUUUCCUCCAUGUUCUUUGGAGUUAGAGGUUCAGAUGCCAUGUGCUCUACCUUCCAUGACAUCAUAGAUGGUGGUUUUAACAAACAUUUGUCCAUGGCCUAGCAAAACUCACCAGCUUUAUCACUGUCACAUGCUGGGGAAUUCUGAGUAAAUGCUACGCAUUUCAGAUUCUCUUCUGUUCAGCUCCUCUUCCAGGUAUUAAGGAUCAGUUGUCGAUUCAUUCAUUUCACACAUUUCACUAGUGACACUGAAUACUGCAGAGCCAAAGAUGAAAGGGGAAGCAAUUCACAGGCUGAUGAGAAGAUGCACGAUUGCCAUUCGGGUACUGAGAGCUGCAACGGAGGAAGGGUGAAACUAAUGAAACUCAUCAUAAACGAGGAGGAGCCAAGAUGGCCGAAUAGGAACAGCUCCGGUCUCCAGCUCCCAGCCUGAGCGACACAUAAGACGGGUGAUUUCUGCCUUUCUGUUUGAGGUACCGGUUUCAUCUCACUAGGGAGUGCCAAACAGUGGGUGCAGGACAUUCGGUGAAGCGCACUGUGA